GACGAACGCUGGCGGCGUGCCUAAUACAUGCAAGUCGAACGCUUCUUUCCUCCCGAGUGCUUGCACUCAAUUGGAAAGAGGAGUGGCGGACGGGUGAGUAACACGUGGGUAACCUACCCAUCAGAGGGGGAUAACACUUGGAAACAGGUGCUAAUACCGCAUAACAGUUUAUGCCGCAUGGCAUAAGAGUGAAAGGCGCUUUCGGGUGUCGUUGAUGGAUGGACCCGCGGUGCAUUAGCUAGUUGGUGAGGUAACGGCUCACCAAGGCCACGAUGCAUAGCCGACCUGAGAGGGUGAUCGGCCACACUGGGACUGAGACACGGCCCAGACUCCUACGGGAGGCAGCAGUAGGGAAUCUUCGGCAAUGGACGAAAGUCUGACCGAGCAACGCCGCGUGAGUGAAGAAGGUUUUCGGAUCGUAAAACUCUGUUGUUAGAGAAGAACAAGGACGUUAGUAACUGAACGUCCCCUGACGGUAUCUAACCAGAAAGCCACGGCUAACUACGUG
rnacentral:rRNA from 1 species